AAAAAAAAAGAAAUUUCUUUUUUCGACCAAAGUCGGGAAAAAUGAAGAAAUUACGCUUACGUCCUAUUGUUCGAUUUGAUCGCUAGUACUUUUGUUUCAACAUUAAACAAUCAAAAGGUUGUUCUAAUAACUAAAUUAAAGUGUAUUUUGAGUUCAAUUGACUUUUUGUGAACGAAUUACGACGAUUCGUCUUUUCGGCCUGAUUUUUAGCAACACAAAAAACUAUUUCGAUCAGAUUUUUUUCGAUGUCAUAAUAAUCGUAUCGAAAUUCUGGUUCGUUUCAUAGAAUUGUUUUUAGAUAUCUCGAUUUUGGAGCACUCCCUCCAAUCCAUUCGGUUACUCAUAAUUGUACCGAAAAUCAAGUUAAACCCCUAAUCUUUUGAAUAUUUCAAUUACACUUCCAAAUAAAACUACACUUAAAACCAUAUGAAAUUAGCUUAAUUCCACCAUUGAAAAUUGACAAAAAAAAAUGAAAUUUCUUUUUACGACGAAAGUCGGUAAAAAUGAGGAAAUUACGCUUACGUCCUAUUGUUCGAUUUGAUCGCUAGUACUUUUGUUUCAACAUUAAACAACCAAAAGGUUGUUCUAAUAACAAAAUUAAAGUGUAUUUUGUGUUCAAUUGACUUUUUGUGAACGAAUUACGACGAUUCGACUUUUCGGCCUGAUUUUUAGCUGCACAAAAAACUGUUUUCGAUCAGAUUUUUUUCGAUGUCAUAAUAAUCGUAUCGAAAUUCUGGUUCGUUUCAUAGAAUUGUUUUUAGAUAUCUUGAUUUCGGAGCACUCCCUCCAAUCCAUUCGGUUACUCAUAAUUGUACCGAAAAUCAAGUUAAACCCCUAAUCUUUUGAAUAUUUCAAUUACACUUCCAAAUAAAACUACACUUAAAACCAUAUGAAAUUAUCUUCAUUCCACCAUAAAAAAUUGACAAAAAAAAAAAGAAAUUUCUUUUUUCGACCAAAGUCGGGAAAAAUGAAUAAAUUACGCUUACGUCCUAUUGUUCGAUUUGAUCGCUAGUACUUUUGUUUCAACAUUAAACAACCAAAAGGUUGUUGUAAUAACAAAAUUUAAGUGUAUUUUGUGUUCAAUUGACUUUUUGUAAACGAAGUACGACGAUUCGACUUUUCGGCCUGAUUUUUAGCUGUACAAAAAACUGUUUCCGAUCAGAUUUUUUUUGAUGUCAUAAUAAUCGUAUCGAAAUUCUGGUUCGUUUCAUAUAAUUUUUUUUAGAUAUCUUGAUUUCGGAGCACUCCCUCCAAUCUAUUCGGUUACUCAUAAUUGUAUCGAAAAUCAAGUUAAAUCCCUAUUCUUUUGAAUAUUUCAAUUACGCUUCCAAAUAAAACUACACUUAAAACCAUAUGAAAUUAUCUUCAUUCCACAAUUGAAAAUAGAGAAAAAAAAAAAAAAAGAAACUUCUUUUUUAGACCAAAGUCGGGAAAAAUGAAGAAAUUACGCUUACGUCCUAUUGUUCGAUUUGAUCGCUAGUACUUUUGUUUCAACAUUAAACAACCAAAAGGUUGUUCUAAUAACUAAAUUAAAGUGUAUUUUGAGUUCAAUUGACUUUUUGUGAACGAAUUACGACGAUUCGUCUUUUCGGCCUGAUUUUUAGCUGCACAAAAAACUGUUUCCGAUCAGAUUUUUUUCGAUGUCAUAAUAAUCGUAUCGAAAUUCUGGUUCGUUUCAUAUAAUUGUUUUUAGAUAUCUUGAUUUCGGAGCACUCCCUCCAAUCCAUUCGGUUACUCAUAAUUGUACCGAAAAUCAAGUUAAACCCCUAAUCUUUUGAAUAUUUCAAUUACACUUCCAAAUAAAACUACACUUAAAACCAUAUGAAAUUAUCUUCAUUCCACCAUUGAAAAUUGACAAAAAAAAAAGAAAUUUCUUUUUUCGACCAAAGUCGGGAAAAAUGAAGAAAUUACGCUUACGUCCUAUUGUUCGAUUUGAUCGCUAGUACUUUUGUUUCAACAUUAAACAACCAAAAGGUUGUUCUAAUAACUAAAUUAAAGUGUAUUUUGAGUUCAAUUGACUUUUUGUGAACGAAUUACGACGAUUCGACUUUUCGGCCUGAUUUUUAGCUGCACAAAAAACUGUUUCCGAUCAGAUUUUUUUCGAUGUCAUAAUAAUCGUAUCGAAAUUCUGGUUCGUUUCAUAUAAUUGUUUUUAGAUAUCUUGAUUUCGGAGCACUCCCUCCAAUCCAUUCGGUUACUCAUAAUUGUACCGAAAAUCAAGUUAAACCCCUAAUCUUUUGAAUAUUUCAAUUACACUUCCAAAUAAAACUACACUUAAAACCAUAUGAAAUUAUCUUCAUUCCACCAUUGAAAAUUAACAAAAAAAAAAGAAAUUUCUUUUUUCGACCAAAGUCGGGAAAAAUGAAGAAAUUACGCUUACGUCCUAUUGUUCGAUUUGAUCGCUAGUACUUUUGUUUCAACAUUAAACAAUCAAAAGGUUGUUCUAAUAACUAAAUUAAAGUGUAUUUUGAGUUCAAUUGACUUUUUGUGAACGAAUUACGACGAUUCGACUUUUCGGCCUGAUUUUUAGCUGCACAAAAAACUGUUUUCGAUCAGAUUUUUUUCGAUGUCAUAAUAAUCGUAUCGAAAUUCUGGUUCGUUUCAUAUAAUUGUUUUUAGAUAUCUUGAUUUCGGAGCACUCCCUCCAAUCCAUUCGGUUACUCAUAAUUGUACCGAAAAUCAAGUUAAACCCCUAAUCUUUUGAAUAUUUCAAUUACACUUCCAAAUAAAACUACACUUAAAACCAUAUGAAAUUAUCUUCAUUCCACCAUUGAAAAUUGACAAAAAAAAAAAAAAGAAUUUUUUUUUUCGACCAAAGUCGGGAAAAAUGAAAAAAUUACGCUUACGUCCUAUUGUUCGAUUUGAUCGCUAGUACUUUUGUUUCAACAUUAAACAACCAAAAGGUUGUUCUAAUAACUAAAUUAAAGUGUAUUUUGAGUUCAAUUGACUUUUUUGUGAACGAAUUACGACGAUUCGACUUUUCUGCCUGAUUUUUAGCUGCACAAAAAACUGUUUCCGAUCAGAUUUUUUUCGAUGUCAUAAUAAUCGUAUCGAAAUUCUGGUUCGUUUCAUAUAAUUGUUUUUAGAUAUCUUGAUUUCGGAGCACUCCCUCCAAUCCAUUCGGUUACUCAUAAUUGUACCGAAAAUCAAGUUAAACCCUAAUCUUUUGAAUAUUUCAAUUACACUUCCAAAUAAAACUACACUUAAAACCAUAUGAAAUUAUCUUCAUUCCACCAUUGAAAAUUGACAAAAAAAAAAAGAAAUUUCUUUUUUCGACCAAAAGCGGGAAAAAUGAAAAAAUUACGCAUACGUCCUAUUGUUCGAUUUGAUCGCUAGUACUUUUGUUUCAACAUUAAACAAUCAAAAGGUUGUUCUAAUAACUAAAUUAAAGUGUAUUUUGAGUUCAAUUGACUUUUUGUGAACGAAUUACGACGAUUCGUCUUUUCGGCCUGAUUUUUAGCUGCACAAAAAACUGUUUCCGAUCAGAUUUUUUUCGAUGUCAUAAUAAUCGUAUCGAAAUUCUGGUUCGUUUCAUAUAAUUGUUUUUAGAUAUCUUGAUUUCGGAGCACUCCCUCCAAUCCAUUCGGUUACUCAUAAUUGUACCGAAAAUCAAGUUAAACCCCUAAUCUUUUGAAUAUUUCAAUUACACUUCCAAAUAAAACUACACUUAAAACCAUAUGAAAUUAUCUUCAUUC